rnacentral:lncRNA from 1 species
GUUUCUCCAUUCAACUACAACAUUGGAGAAGAUAAUCUCUUGGGUUUCGUGUAAAAUUGAAACUAUGGACUCUUCGGUGGUCUUCAUAUCUAAUAUGUAAAGUUAUUGAAAUGAAUGGCCCUGACCAACUCAAAGUUUGAAAUUCGAGUCAAGAGAGUUUGUUUGACGAAAUCAUGGAGAACUAUGUAAACCAGUACUUAAAUAUAAUUUUUUUUAUGAAUGAUAAUAAAUUCACAACCUGUUUAUAAGUAAUUAAUUCUCCAUAAAAUGCAUAUAUUAAUUAAGACCGGUCCUCCAGACUGUUGAUCCUUGGAAUUUUCCAUAAAAAUAAUCAAUAAUUUAAUAAGGCUAAAAAUAAAUGUAUUAAGAUGAUUGCA